rnacentral:rRNA from 1 species
AGAGUUUGAUCAUGGCUCAGGACGAACGCUGGCGGCGUGCCUAACACAUGCAAGUCGAGCGGAGAUGUACUGAAGAUUUAUCGGAUGUACAUCUUAGCGGCGGACGGGUGAGUAACGCGUGGGCAACCUGCCUUUCACUGGGGGAUAACACAGGGAAACCUGUGCUAAUACCGCAUGACAUCACGUAGGGCAUCCUAUGUGAUCAAAGGAGAGAUCCGGUGGAAGAUGGGCCCGCGUCCAAUUAGCUGGUUGGUGAGGUAAAGGCUCACCAAGGCGACGAUUGGUAGCCGAACUGAGAGGGUGUACGGCCACACUGGAAUUGAGAUACGGUCCAGACUCCUACGGGAGGCAGCAGUGGGGAAUUUUGGGCAAUGGGCGAAAGCCUGACCCAGCGACGCCGCGUUGGGGAUGAAGUCCUUCGGGGCGUAAACCCAUGUUGUAGGGGAAGAAGAAAGUGACGGUACCCUACGAGAAAGCCCCGGCCAACUACGUGCCAGCAGCCGCGGUAAU